CCUACGGGGAGCAGCAGUGGGGAAUAUUGCACAAUGGGGGGAACCCUGAUGCAGCAACGCCGCGUGGGUGAAGAAGUACUCCGGUAUGUAAAGCCCUGUCAGCAGGGAAGAAAAUGACGGUACCUGACCAAGAAGCCCCGGCUAACUACGUGCCAGCAGCCGCGGUAAUACGUAGGGGGCAAGCGUUAUCCGGAUUUACUGGGUGUAAAGGGAGCGUAGACGGCAAGGCAAGUCUGGAGUGAAAGCCCGGGGCCCAACCACGGGACUGCUUUGGAAACUGUGUUGCUGGAGUGCAGGAGGGGUAAGCGGAAUUCCUAGUGUAGCGGUGAAAUGCGUAGAUAUUAGGAGGAACACCGGUGGCGAAGGCGGCUUACUGGACUGUAACUGACGUUGAGGCUCGAAGGCGUGGGGAGCAAACAGGAUUAGAUACCCCUGUAGUC
rnacentral:rRNA from 1 species